UAACGCGUGAGUAACCGUGCCUUCAAGAGGGGGAUAACAUUCUGAAAAAGAAUGCUAAUACCGCAUGACAUAUCGGAACCACAUGGUUUUGAUAUCAAAGAUUUUAUCGCUUGAAGAUGGACUCGCGUCCGAUUAGUUAGUUGGUGAGGUAACGGCUCACCAAGACCGCGAUCGGUAGCCGGACUGAGAGGUUGAACGGCCACAUUGGGACUGAGACACGGCCCAGACUCCUACGGGAGGCAGCAUG
rnacentral:rRNA from 1 species